UAGAUACCCCACUAUGCCCAGCCCUAAACUUUGAUAGUCUGCCGCACUCACUAUCCGCCCGGGUACUACGAGCCCUAGCUUAAAACCCAAAGGACUUGGCGGUGCUUAAGGUCCGCCUAGAGGAGCCUGUUCUAUAACCGAUACCCCUCGUUUAACCUCACCCUCUCUUGUUUAAACCGCCUAUAUACCGCCGCCGUCAGCCCACCCUGUAAAGGUCUAAUAGUAAGCAGAAUUGGUACGACCCUUAACGCCAGGUCGAGGUGUAGUGUAUGGGAGGGGAAGUAAUGGGCUACAUUUCCUAACCAGGAAAUACGAACAAUGGACUGAAAUAACCAUUUAGAAGGAGGAUUUAGCAGUAAAUGAAAAACAGAGUGUUUCAUUGAAAUAGGCUCUAAAGCACGCACACACCGCCCG
rnacentral:rRNA from 1 species